UGGGAAUUUGGACAAUGGGCGAAGCCUGAUCCAGCAAUGCCGCGUGUGUGAAGAAGGCCUUCGGGUUGUAAAGCACUUUUGUCCGGAAAGAAAUCCUUGGCUCUAAUACAGUCGGGGGAUGACGGUACCGGAAGAAUAAGCACCGGCUAACUACGUGCCAGCAGCCGCGGUAAUACGUAGGGUGCAAGCGUUAAUCGGAAUUACUGGGCGUAAAGCGUGCGCAGGCGGUUUGCUAAGACCGAUGUGAAAUCCCCGGGCUCAACCUGGGAACUGCAUUGGUGACUGGCAGGCUAGAGUAUGGCAGAGGGGGGUAGAAUUCCACGUGUAGCAGUGAAAUGCGUAGAGAUGUGGAGGAAUACCGAUGGCGAAGGCAGCCCCCUGGGCCAAUACUGACGCUCAUGCACGAAAGCGUGGGGAGCAAACAGGAUUAGAUACCCUGGUAGUCCACGCCCUAAACGAUGUCAACUAGUUGUUGGGGAUUCAUUCCUUAGUAACGUAGCUAACGCGUGAAGUUGACCGCCUGGGGAGUACGGUCGCAAGAUUAAAACUUAAAGGAAUUGACGGGGUCAUAGCUGUUUCCU
rnacentral:rRNA from 1 species